CGUAUCACGAUACGUAUUAGGUCACGAUACGAUACGUAUCGCGAUACCAAUAUUUAGGUCAAAUCGCGUGGAAACUCGAUAUUUCAGAGCAAGCUCAAAAGGUAACAGUUGCAGCAGACACAUGUUCGAAGCCGCUAUGUUUGUGAGUGAACUUUAAAGCCUAACUUCAAAACAUCUGCGAUACUUAACUGGCAAAAAACACUGGGAGUUAUUAAACGAGUGGUAAGUUUAGCAAGACAGUGUAUCGUCUAAGCUGAUUCCUUUGAGCGUCGUCAACUUGCGCCAAGCUACAUUGUGAUAUUUGAAACGGGGCCCAGCUUAGUGUGUCUUGUAUCGAUAUAAACCUUGUUCCACUGUUGGUACGCGACGCAAGUUUAGUUUUGGUAGACAGGACCCCAGUCUAGUAUCGACACAGAAUAUAACGUUUCGUGUAUCGUAUCGUCGCAUGAAAACUAACGGUGCACCAUGUAUUCAAGGUAUGACAGAUUUCCCAGUCGUGAUCAAUCUUGUCAUUCCGGUAAAGGAUAUCAUUUGUGACAAUUAUUCCAGCACAAGAAGGUUACGGAAAGGGGCAGUUUACGGAAAGCAGCGAGAAGCGGUGAUCGCUGAUGCAUCCCCAUGGAGACCGUUGCUACUUCCGUUAUUCACAAACGACGCCAUUUUGGUUGUUGCUGCUGCACUUUGUUUCCACGUCUGUGUUUACAUUUUGCUCUUUAUCCCGCACGUAUCGCACGUUCUUCACGAUGUAUGCCACUGUUGCUUUGGUUUAUCAUCAAGCUCAGGAUGAUCUUCACAGGUUUAGGACCUACCAGGCCCCCGUCUCCCAAAAGACUCUUCCUGUCCCUGAUCCUUUCAUAUAUAUCAAUCGUGGGAGGGAUACAGACAAAAACCGGAUUCCAGAGCCACGAUGUGACAGACAAUGACGAGCGACUGAUGUUUCCAGUACAGUUGACAGCCGGUAUCAUGUCUGGCGAUCUCGGGACAUUGUACAAGAUUUUUCAGUUCAGUGAUUAAUUAAUAAACUCGUUAUUGAACCUUA